UUGGUUAAGUUAGAAAGGGCGCACGGUGGAUGCCUUGGCACUAGGAGCCGAAGAAGGACGGGACUAACACCGAUAUGCUUUGGGGAGCUGUACGUAAGCGUUGAUCCAGAGAUUUCCGAAUGGGGGAACCCACUAUCUUUAGUCGGAUAGUAUCCUUACGUGAAUACAUAGCGUGAGGAAGGCAGACCCAGGGAACUGAAACAUCUAAGUACCUGGAGGAAGAGAAAGAAAAAUCGAUUUCCUGAGUAGCGGCGAGCGAAACGGAAAGAGCCCAAACCAAGAAGCUUGCUUCUUGGGGUUGUAGGACACUCUAUACGGAGUUACAAAAGAAAGUUAUAAAUGAAGCGGUCUGGAAAGGCCCGCCAAAGACGGUAACAGCCCGGUAGUUGAAAUAGCUUUCCCUCCAGAGUGGAUCCUGAGUACGGCGGAACACGUGAAAUUCCGUCGGAAUCCGGGAGGACCAUCUCCCAAGGCUAAAUACUCCCUAGUGACCGAUAGUGAACCAGUACCGUGAGGGAAAGGUGAAAAGCACCCCGGAAGGGGAGUGAAACAGUUCCUGAAACCGUGUGCCUACAAGUAGUUAGAGCCCGUUAAUGGGUGAUAGCGUGCCUUUUGUAGAAUGAACCGGCGAGUUACGAUUUGUUGCAAGGUUAAGCGGAAAAAGCGGAGCCGUAGCGAAAGCGAGUCUGAAUAGGGCGCAUAAGUAACAGGUCGUAGACCCGAAACCAGGUGAUCUACCCAUGUCCAGGAUGAAGGUAAGGUAAUACUUACUGGAGGUCCGAACCCACGCACGUUGAAAAGUGCGGGGAUGAGGUGUGGGUAGCGGAGAAAUUCCAAUCGAACUUGGAGAUAGCUGGUUCUCUCCGAAAUAGCUUUAGGGCUAGCCUCGAGGUAAAGAGUCAUGGAGGUAGAGCACUGUUUGGACUAGGGGCCCUUCUCGGGUUACCGAAUUCAGAUAAACUCCGAAUGCCAUGUACUUAUACUCGGGAGUCAGACUGCGAGUGAUAAGAUCCGUAGUCGAAAGGGAAACAGCCCAGACCACCAGUUAAGGUCCCCAAAUAUAUGUUAAGUGGAAAAGGAUGUGGGGUUGCUUAGACAACCAGGAUGUUGGCUUAGAAGCAGCCACCAUUGAAAGAGUGCGUAAUAGCUCACUGGUCGAGUGACCCCGCGCCGAAAAUGUACCGGGGCUAAACAUAUUACCGAAACUGUGGAUGAACCUCUUCGGAGGUUCGUGGUAGGAGAGCGUUCUAAGGGCGGUGAAGUCAGACCGGAAGGACUGGUGGAGCGCUUAGAAGUGAGAAUGCCGGUAUGAGUAGCGAAAGAAGGGUGAGAAUCCCUUCCACCGAAUAUCUAAGGUUUCCUGAGGAAGGCUCGUCCGCUCAGGGUUAGUCGGGACCUAAGCC
rnacentral:rRNA from 1 species